CCCUUAGAUGUUCUGGGCCGCACACGCGCUACACUGAAGGAGGCAGCGUGUACUCCUGGAUCGAAAGAUUUGGGUAACCCGCGAAUCUCCUUCGUGCUGGGGAUUGAGGUUUGCAAUUAUCCUUCAUGAACGAGGAAUUCCCAGUAAGUGCAAGUCAUAAGCUUGCGCUGACUACGUCCCUGCCCUUUGUACACACCGCCCGUCGCUACUACCGAUUGAAUGAUUUAGUGAGGACUUCGGACUGGGACCGAUGCGGCUUUCGGGCUGCGUCGGUAUUCUGGAAAGAUGUUCAAACUGUAUCAUUUAGAGGAAGUAAAAGUCGUAACA
rnacentral:rRNA from 1 species